rnacentral:rRNA from 1 species
GAAGGGCGGACCUUUAGGAUCAAUCUCUGCUCAAUGAGUAAAUUAAAUAGCUGCAGUAAAUUAACUGUACUAAGGUAGCAUAAUAAGUUGCUUUAUAAUUAAAAGCUUGAAUGAAAGAAAUAAUGUGAAACAAGCUUUUUAAACUAAAGUAGUAAAAAUUAAUAUUUAAGUGAAAAAUCUUAAAUAAAAUCAAAAGACAAGAAGACCCUUUAGAACUUUACAAAUUAACUUAAUUUCAUUUGGUUAAUUUUGUUAGAUUGGGGAGAUUUUUAAAUAAAUAAAUCUUUAGAUAUAAAAAAAUGAUUUAAAUCAAAUUAAAUUAUCCAAAUAUGAAAUAAAACAAGUUACCUAAGGGAUAACAGCGCAAAAUUUUUGAGAAGUUCUCAUUUACAAAAUAAAUUGCGACCUCGAUGUUGGAUUAAGAACAACUUAUAAAGAAAAAUUUAUAAGAGUUGGUCUGUUCGCCCAAAUAAAUCUUACAUGAUCUGAGUUCAAACCGGA